rnacentral:misc_RNA from 1 species
UCCUUCAAGCCGGCGACGCGGUCGGCAACGCCCUGCUCGCUGCCCUGGAAACUGAUCUGCACGUGACAAAGCCCGGCAUCGGCCAGGGCGGCAAGCUUGGCCUUNNNNNNNNCAAUAAGACAGCGGAGGUGAUGAGGUUCGUAUACAGGCCGACAUCGGUUGCAUGCUGAACCAGUUCCACCAGGUCCUUCCGCGCCGUCGGUUCACCGCCGGAAAAAUG